CGUAGCUCAGCUGGAUAGAGCGCUGCCCUCCGAAGGCAGAGGUCAGAGGUUCGAAUCCUUUCGGCAA
rnacentral:tRNA from 1 species